rnacentral:rRNA from 1 species
GAUGAACGCUGGCGGAGUGCCUAACACAUGCAAGUCGAGCGGCAGCGCGAGUAGUUUACUACUUGGCGGCGAGCGGCGGACGGCUGAGCAACGCGUGGGAACAUGCCCCAAAGUGAGGAAUAACUGCCCGAAAGGGUAGCUAAUGCCGCAUACGAUCUUCGGAUUAAAGGAUUUAUCCGCUUUGGGAGUGGCCUGCGUACGAUUAGAUAGUUGGUGAGGUAAUGGCUCACCAAGUCUACGAUCGUUAACUGGUUUGAGAGGAUGAUCAGUCAGACUGGAACUGAGACACGGUCCAGACUCCUACGGGAGGCAGCAGUGAGGAAUCUUCCACAAUGGACGAAAGUCUGAUGGAGCAACUCCGCGUGCAGGAUGAAGGCCUUCGGUCGUAAACUGCUUUAUGAGUGAAGAAUAUGACGGUAACUCAUGAAUAAGGUCGG